rnacentral:rRNA from 1 species
AACGAACGCUGGCGGCAUGCCUAACACAUGCAAGUCGAACGAGACCUUCGGGUCUAGUGGCGCACGGGUGCGUAACGCGUGGGAACCUGCCCUUAGGUUCGGAAUAACUCCCCGAAAGGGGUGCUAAUACCGGAUAAUGUCUUCGGACCAAAGUUUUAUCGCCUUUGGAUGGGCCCGCGUUGGAUUAGCUAGUUGGUAGGGUAAAAGCCUACCAAGGCGACGAUCCAUAGCUGGUCUGAGAGGAUGAUCAGCUACACUGGGACUGAGACACGGCCCAGACUCCUACGGGAGGCAGCAGUGGGGAAUAUUGGACAAUGGGCGAAAGCCUGAUCCAGCAAUGCCGCGUGAGUGAUGAAGGCCUUAGGGUUGUAAAGCUCUUUUACCCGGGAUGAUAAUGACAGUACCGGGAGAAUAAGCUCCGGCUAACUCCGUG